rnacentral:rRNA from 1 species
UACGUAGGGGCAAGCGUUAUCCGGAUUUACUGGGUGUAAAGGGAGCGCAGACGGAACUGCAAGUCUGAUGUGAAAGCCCGGGGCUCAACCGCGGGACUGCAUCGGAUACUGUGGAUCUGGAGUGCCGGAGGGGCAAGCGGAAUUCCUGGUGUAGCGGUGAAAUGCGUAGAUAUCAGGAGGAACACCGGCGGCGAAGGCGGCUUGCUGGACGGCAACUGACGUUGAGGCUCGAAAGCGUGGGGAGCAAACAGGAUUAGAUACCCGCGUA